rnacentral:piRNA from 1 species
AUAGUCUUGCUUGGGUUUUCUUAAUAG